rnacentral:lncRNA from 13 species
CUCACAAUUGACAGCAUUGAAGCUAAAAAGGGGUAGGCUAGUGUCGUGGUAAGGCACGUUGGAUGGUUCGAUUCUACUGGCCUUUUUGCUUGGUUGAGGGGCGGUAGCUGAGGGGCGGUCCUGAAUCUGUAGGCUCUCUGAACAUUUUAAACACAGCAAUCUUCCUUCCUUGACUUUCAACCGAACAGUGAUUACUUCCAAGCCUAGAGAGGUAGAUAAAGAUAAUUCGUACCAGGCCCUAUACUUCUAAAUAUCACGUGAUUUUGGCGCGACACCGGCAGCCAGAAAGUCGGGAUGAGACGUUUUCCGUUUGUUGACAUUGUUAUGGUUCAGUUUUGUUGAACUAUGCCUAAAGCUGCAAACCAUCUUGACAGAUGCCGUCUCUGCGACCAAAAUCUAAGGAUAUUUGGUACGCUCCAACAUGUGCGUUCCCUUGUGUCAAAGUCGAAUUGUACCAUUCUGACUAGGUUAUCAUCACUCGGCAUAAACCUGACACUGCACGAAGAUACAUCGACAAUUAUAUGUCAGAAGUGUUUUCGUAACAUUUGUAAGGUUGAAAAGACCAUGCAUGUGUUACAUGCAUGGAAAGCUACAACGCAAACACCGGCGUUUGGAACUCCCGGGGAAGAAGUUAUCAAGUCCCAACAAGGCCCAGUAGAGACCGGAAGAGAUGAUACCAAGACCAGGUGUUUUAACUGUGAUUCCUUGAAUGAGGUACCCGAGAAGAAACGUCAACGGGAAGAAAGCCCACCAACUACAGGCAGGGGUGCCAAGAAGAGAUGCAAUGCCUCUACAAAAUCCCCAGAGAAGAACAUUAUGGUUGAGGUUGUCAUUACAUACAACCCAAAAUUGAGUCAUCCAAAACCAGGAGUCGGUUCCCCUGACAACAAGGGAAGGACGUGGAAACAGAAGAGGAAGGUAAUUGCUUCAGAAUUUUCAGGCAUGAUUGAAAACUUGGCUAUGGGCAAUAUGGUGACUUUUGCAAAAUUAGCCUUGACAAAUGAGAACAUAUCCCAAGAAAUCAGAAAGCAAAUUGUAAACAAAAUCCAAGUGGAGGUCAAGGCAUAUGCAAGCCUCCCUAAUGUUUUUGAACCGUGCAUCUUGAGUAGUACCUCGUUGGAGAAAAUGAAGUAUUUUUCAUACGAAGCGUUGGAUAAUGAGUUGUCCAGGAAGACACCAUGGCUUUAUACCACCAUCAAUACUGCAACAGGUGGUUCCACCAUCCAUAACUGUGUGGCUGCCUCUGUGGCCCUGAGAGGUAGAAACCCCAGGCUUUCUGCACUGGCCUAUGUCAUCAACUCAACACUGACCCAAGGGGGGGUUAAGCCCAUUUUCAAAAGACUCUCUAAAAUGGGCAUUGUAACAUCAUACCAAUGUGCCAGCAGUAAGCAGAAGGAGAUGAAGGCAGCUGGGUACAACAUCAACAUCAAAUGCUGGAGGGAGGACUGUGAGCUGUUUUUCCAACAUAGUGUCAGCGGUGAAGUCUGCCCACGACCUCCUCCUACGGCUAAACCGACAGAGGAGACCGGAAGAGUGGAGGACGAGGAGAAAGCUAAAGUGGAGGCUGGGGGUCCAGUGGAGGAAGAGUGGGGUUUCCUGCUAGGAGAGACAGAAACUGAGGAAGACAGAGGAUCAACAGUACAGGAAGAGAGAGGAGAGGAGAAAGGCAGUGGUUUCCUGCUAGGAGAGACAGAAACAGAGGAGGACAGAGGAUCAACAGUACAUGAAGAGAGAGGAGAGGAGAAAGACAGGGGUUCCCUGCUAGGAGAGACAGAAACAGAGGAAGACAGAGGAUCAACAGUACAUGAAGAGAGAGGAGAGGAGAAAGACAGGGGUUCCCUGCUAGGAGAGACAGAAACAGAGGAAGUGGGACAUGCAUCAUCAGCACUACAAGGAAAUGACACACAGGAAGAGGACUCUGAUUCAGCGGUGGAUUCAGAGACAGAAUACUUUGGAUUAAACCUCACUUGUGAGAGUGAUUAGAGAAAUAGCCUAACAAAGAGUCUGUAGAUUACAGAUCUAGGCCUAGGCUACAUCUCUGAACAACAAGGGACUAAUCAUAGUUUGGGUACCAACUUACAAUACAGAUGGUGACACAUUGAACUGUACUUCUUAACAUGGUCAUAAAUAUGAUACACCGAGUGUUAUAAGACUGUAUGACAUCUUGUGUCACUGAAUGUCAAUUGCCGUUUUAUCAUGUAUUGGAAAUCAGUUUUAGAGAAUAAAAAUGCUUUGCCUUUUUUGGGGGGUUUAGGUGUCAACAUUCUUGACUUGCUGACGUGUGUGCAGAUGUCGAUCUGAUCAGAUAUCAUAGAGGAAUACUUUAUCACAGACUACAUAAUAUGGUUCAUUCAUACAUGUGGUAAAUCAUUCUAGAAUAUUACAUUCACCCUGUAUUAAUACUGUAUCUAGACAGGCCUCAUCCUAUGUACUGCAUAUUCUGUCUUUUUACAUGACACUUUUCAAUGAUAUCCACAGGGGAAAGCCAGAGACUAAAGGUGUCUACAGAAAAUACACAAACUGGGCUUUUUUUAUUACGAAAUUUGCUAAGCGCGAUUAUGUCCAUGGCCAGUUUUAGAGGAGCCUCUGUGAGCUGGUGAGCCCAAACAAUAACUUCUCCAACCCUUCGAUGCGGUUGUAUUCGGACGAGCAAGUACAAGACAAGUCGGAAGGAGAUGUCACAACAUUUGAACACCGAUGCUGAUACGAAGAGUUAGAGACGAGGAGCGGGGCUGCUGUGUCCCACCGACUGUCAGACAACUGUAUUGGCUUGGUGUUCAACGUGAAACAUUGUCAGACAGACACCAGUGUGUACUCGUCAUGCAGCCGAGUCCUUUUGAACAUCCGGUGUGAUUUGUUUUCUUAUGCUUAGCAGACCUCGUCAGAACAUUGUGAAAUCAGCUCUUUUCUAGGGUGAGAGAAAUUGUGAGUGGGAAAUAUUCGGCGUCCGUGUUAUAAGAUUAGCAGGGCUAGUUCAAUCGUCAGAAAACAAGACGACAGUGUGAAAUCAGUUAUUUUGGGUAUACAUUUUAACUCAAGGGAGCCCCAGGUGGAUGUUUUACGAUUGCUGUCAUUGUAUUUGUCAUCUGCUUGUAGUAGGUGUUGGAGGGGAGGGGGGUUGAUAGCCAAGAGAUGGAACUGAGCCCGACGACGUCACGGUAACAUGGAUGGUGUUUAUUCCUACUGAUGAACGUCUCCCGUUCGUCUCGCCCCAAAAACUGCUGUGCUUUUUAUUUUUAUUUUCUUAGUCAUACUUUAGGAUGGAAGUUCAUUUCCUGUUUCACAUGUUACUCGUGUUUACAUAAGUGUUUUAUCUUAUGUCCCCUUUCAUCACCCAUUGGCUCCAGGUCAUCUACAAGUCCAUGCUAGGUAAAGCGCCGCCUUAUCUCAGUUCACGGGUCACGAUGUGAACACCCACCCGUAGCACGCGCUCCAGCAGGUGUAUCUCACUGAUCAUCCCUAAAGCCAACACCUAAUUUGGCCGCCUUUCGUUCCAGUACUCUGCUGCCUGUGACUGGAACGAAUUGCAAAAAUCGCUGAAGUUGGAGACUUUUAUCUCCCUCACCAACUUCAAACAUCUGCUAUCUGAGCAGCUAACCGAUCGCUGCAGCUGUACAUAGCCUAUCGGUAAAUAGCCCACCCAAUUGUACCUACCUCAUCCCCAUACUGUUUAUUUAUUUACUUUUCUGCUCUUUUGCACACCAAUAUCUCUACCUGUACAUGACCAUCUGAUCAUUUAUCACUCCAGUGUUAAUCUGCUAAAUUGUAAUUAUUCGCCUACCUCCUCAUGCCUUUUGCACACAAUGUAUAUAGACUCUUUUUAAAAUAAAAAAUAAUAAUAAUUCUACUGUGUUAUUGACUUGUUAAUUGUUUACUCCAUGUGUAACUCUGUGUUGCUGUCUGUUUACACUGCUAUGCUUUAUCUUGGCCAGGUCACUGUUGUAAAUGAGAACUUGUUCUCAACUAGCCUACCUGGUUAAAUAAAUAAAAAUUAAAAUAAAAUCACACUUCUGUGAUUUACAUUUCACUAGUCACCUCUUAUGAUAGGAAAUAAAUAUCUAAAAAAGUCUGCGAAUGUAUUUGUGACAGACAAUAUUACUGUUUUGAAUCAGUCACAGACAAUAUUACUGUUUUGAAUCAGUCACAGACAAUAGUACUCUUUUGAAUCAGUCACUCAGUAAACUUGUACUGCUUUGUACAUGAGCUAUGUAGAUGAGGUUAAUGUCUUAGGGGUCCAUAUUGUCUACAGCUGGACACUCGCCCAUGUACCAAAGCAGGAAGUUCUCCAUUGAAUGACCACUACACAACACAAGGUAAAUGACAAGGUAUGGUAAGUGUCUUGAGGGUCUAGCCUCCCAAACAAUAUGAAAAACUAAAACAAGGAGGAAGUGACUCAUUUAUCCUCUUUAGUUGUCAAAUGUGAAUAAUAAAAACAGCGAAACCAAGUGUGUCGCUCACAACUUGAAACAAACAGUCAACCAUCAUUAUUUAUUUAACCUUUAUUUAACUAGGAAAAUAAGUUAAGAACAAAUUCUUAUUUACAAUGACGGCCCUACCCCGGACGACGUUGGGCCAAUUGUGCGCCACCCCAUGGGACAGGCACACUUCCGUGAUGAUGGCACUAACUGUCGAGAUUCCUAGAAUAUAAAUGAUAAUUUGCAGUGAUACUUUGCUGCCACUCGCCAAAAACCGACGUGUAACAGACAGCCUUUCUGCAGAAAUUUCUGCAGUCCAGAGAGGCUUUCUGCAGUCCAUCAUGUCUCCUCUCUGGAGGUGGUUAGAAUAAGGACUGUCCAUCAUGUGUCCUCUCUGAAGGUGGUUAGAAUAAGGACUGUCCAUCAUGUCUCCUCUCUGGAGGUGGUUAGAAUAAGGACUGUCCAUCAUGUCUUCUCUCUGGAGGUGGUUAGAAUAAGGACUGUCCAUCAUGUCUCCUCUCUGGAGGUGGUUAGAAUAAGGACUGUCCAACAUGUCUCCUCUCUGGAGGUGGUUAGAAUAAGGACUGUCCAUCAUGUCUCCUCUCUGGAGGUGGUUAGAAUAAGGACUGUCCAUCAUGUCUCCUCUCUGGAGGUGGUUAGAAUAAGGACUGUCCAUCAUGUCUCCUCUCUG